rnacentral:rRNA from 1 species
GUGAGGAAUUUUCCGCAAUGGGCGAAAGCCUGACGGAGCAAUGCCGCGUGAAGGAUGAAGGCCUAUGGGUUGUAAACUUCUUUUCUCAGAAAAGAAUUAUGACGGUAUCUGAGGAAUAAGCAUCGGCUAACUCUGUGCCAGCAGCCGCGGUAAGACAGAGGAUGCAAGCGUUAUCCGGAAUGAUUGGGCGUAAAGCGUCUGUAGGUUGUUUAAAAAGUAUUCUGUCAAAGAUUAGGGCUUAACCCUAGAUAGGCAGAAUAAACUUUUAAGCUAGAGUUUGGUAGAGGCAGAGGGAAUUCCCGGUGGAGCGGUGAAAUGCGUAGAUAUCGGGAGGAACACCAAAGGCCGAGGCACUCUGCUGGGCCAAUACUAACACUGAGAGACGAAAGCGAGGGGAGCAAAUGGGAUUAGAUACCCGAGUAGUCC